GAUUAACGCUGGCGGCAUGCCUAAUACAUGCAAGUCGAACGGAAGCAGCAAUGCUUUAGUGGCGAACGGGUGAGUAACACGUAGGGAACCUACCUAUACGACGAGGAUAACUACUGGAAACGGUAGCUAAAACUGGAUAGGAUCAAUUGAGGCAUCUUGAUUGAUUUAAAGAUCCUUCGGGAUUACGUAGAGAUGGCCCUGCGGCGCAUUAGCUAGUUGGUGAGGUAACGGCCCACCAAGGCGACGAUGCGUAGCUGAGCUGAGAGGCUAAACAGCCACACUGGGACUGAGACACGGCCCAGACUCCUACGGGAGGCAGCAGUAGGGAAUUUUCGGCAAUGGGGGAAACCCUGACCGAGCAAUGCCGCGUGAACGAUGAAGGUCUUCGGAUUGUAAAGUUCUGUGAUUGGGGAAGAAUGGUAUUCUUAGGGAAUGAGGAGUACAUGACGGUACCCGAUUAGAAAGCCCCGGCUAACUAUGUGCCAGCAGCCGCGGUAAAU
rnacentral:rRNA from 1 species